GAAAUCAUUCCAGGUAAACACUCUAAUACCUUUACCAUACAGAAAAAACUCGAGCACUUGCAGACAUGUUUUUGAUUCAAUUAUGUUGCUGUAAAUUAAUUAUAUAGUCUUUAUUGAAUGGCGUCAGUGUGAAAUAUUAAAAAAAAUAUUAGUUGAAGCACAUUAAAUAUUUUGAAUGGUAAUAGCAUAUAAAACUAUUGUAUCCCCAAGGAUUGAAAUAAUAGAUAGAAAAUUAGAUAGAUGAAUUAUUUUUACAGACACGAGUGUAAGUAGUCAAUAGCGUUCUCCCAUCCCGCCUGGUCGGAAUUCCCGUCGGAGCGCGGGGAGAGAACGCCCGAAAGAAAUAAACACACGCCGCGCGUUGAGUCGUCGCUAAAUAUGGGAACGCGCCGAUUUCUCGUACCCCGCGCUGACUUCGGACCAAAAACGGCGACCGAAGCUGCCGCCUGUACUA